GGGAGGGUAGCGAAGAGGCUAAACGCGGCAGACUGUAAAUCUGUUCCUUCGGGUUCGGCAGUUCGAAUCUGCCCCCUCCCACCA
rnacentral:tRNA from 1 species